rnacentral:rRNA from 1 species
AUGAACGCUGGCGGCGUGCCUAAUACAUGCAAGUCGAGCGAACGGACGAGAGGCUUGCUUCUCUGAUGUUAGCGGCGGACGGGUGAGUAACACGUGGAUAACCUACCUAUAAGACUGGGGUAACUUCGGGAAACCGGAGCUAAUACCGGAUAAUAUUUUGAACCGCAUGGUUCAAAAGUGAAAGACGGUCUUGCUGUCACUUAUAGAUGGAUCCGCGCUGCAUUAGCUAGUUGGUAAGGUAACGGCUUACCAAGGCAACGAUGCAUAGCCGACCUGAGAGGGUGAUCGGCCACACUGGAACUGAGACACGGUCCAGACUCCUACGGGAGGCAGCAGUAGGGAAUCUUCCGCAAUGGGCGAAAGCCUGACGGAGCAACGCCGCGUGAGUGAUGAAGGUCUUCGGAUCGUAAAACUCUGUUAUUAGGGAAGAACAUAUGUGUAAGUAACUGUGCACAUCUUGACGGUACCUAAUCAGAAAGCCACGGCUAACUACGUG